CAAUAGCGUAUAUUAAAGUUGUUGCAGUUAAAAAGCUCGUAGUUGGAUUUCUGGUCGGAAGCUCCUGUCCUCUGAUGAGCGUACAAGUGCGUCCUACCAUCCUUCUGUUAACCUUUAAGGCUUUCGCGGCUUUCUGGGGGCUCAGAUAUUUUACCUUGAGAAAAUUAGAGUGUUUCAGGCAGGCUAGCGCCGGAAUACAUUAGCAUGGAAUAAUGGAAUAGGACUUUUGCCUCUUCUGUUGGUCAUGAGGCUCGAGUAAUGAUUAAUAGGGAUAGUUGGGGGCAUUAGUACUUAACUGUCAGAGGUGAAAUUCUCGGAUUUGUUAAAGACUAACUUAUGCGAAAGCAUUUGCCAAGGAUGUUUNCAUUAA
rnacentral:rRNA from 1 species